rnacentral:tRNA from 1 species
GCGGGAAUAGCUCAGUUGGUAGAGCAUAACGUUGCCAAGGUUGGGGUCGCGAGUUCGAGUCUCGUUUCCCGCUCCA